GGCUGGGACAGCUCAGUCGGUCGAGCAAGAGACUCUUAUAAUCUCAGGGUUGUGGGUUCGAGUCCCACAUUGGGCCA